GCCUUACUAGUGGACUCAGACUCGCUGCUCAUUGCAAGUCUGACAAGUCUGGUUCAUUUGAGAGGCAGAAGAAGGAGCAGUGGGCUUGGCUGCGGUCGUAAUGCAAGGAGGCUACAAAGCUCCUGUGGAGUGUCCUUCAGCUUCAGAACAAGAGCCUCAUAGUAGCCCCGCAUUGGAGUAUUUGUGCAUCAAGAGGACAAACAAGUGCCCCUGAACGGGGCUCUGACAGCGAGAAAUUUGGAGGUUGUGGCUAGUGAUUAUUGCUUAAAGAGGUACUGACGCAAA